rnacentral:misc_RNA from 1 species
AACGCACCUUGCGCUCCUUGGUAUUCCGAGGAGCAUGCCUGUUUGAGUGUCUUGAAGUCAUCAACCCCCCACGUCUUCUUGGACGUGGUGCGCGUUGGACGUUGGGGGCUUGCGGCCGUGAGGCUGCUCCCCUCAAAUCUGUUGGUUGGGCCUGUGGGUCGAACUCGACUGGGCGUUGUACCAUCCUCGCUCCGAACGAGAUGUUCCCUCCUUUGUGUGCGCGCAACCCUGGACCUGCCUCUUCCGAGUGGGGGGGCGGUCAAGGAGCAAAUGCUCUUUUCUUGAAACUCUGACCUCAAAUCAGGUAGGACUACCCGCUGAACUUAA